rnacentral:tRNA from 1 species
AUUAUUUUGGCAGAUUAGUGCAUUAGUCUUAGAAACUAAUUAUGUAUUCGUACAGGUAAUA